AAGGGGUGGGCAAGUUCUGGUGUCAGCCGCCGCGGUAAAACCAGCACCUCGAGUGGUCAGGAGGUUUAUUGGGCCUAAAGCAUCCGUAGCCGGUUGCAUAAGUUUUCGGUUAAAUCUAUGCGCUUAACGUAUAGGCCGCCGAAAAUACUGUGCAGCUAGGGAGUGGGAGAGGUACACGGUACUCGAUAGGAAGGGGUAAAAUCCUUUGAUCUAUUGAUGACCACCUGUGGCGAAGGCGGUGUACCAGAACACGUUCGACGGUGAGGGAUGAAAGCUGGGGGAGCAAACCGGAUUAGAUACCCGGGUAGUCCCAGCUGUAAACGAUGCAGACUCGGUGAUGCAUUGGCUUGUGGCCAAUGCAGUGCCGCAGGGAAGCCGUUAAGUCUGCCGCCUGGGAAGUACGUACGCAAGUANNAAACUUAAAGGAAUNNNCGGGGGAGCACCACAAGGGGUGANNNCUGCGGNNNNNNNNGNNNCAACGCCAGAAAUCUNNNCNGUGGAGACAG
rnacentral:rRNA from 1 species